AAAAAAAAAGCAAGGUUUUUAUAUAAAGGAAUAAGGGAAAGAUUGUAACAAGUUUAUGUAUUAUUGCGGAAAAAAAAUAGACUUGAAAACAAAUAUGUCCAUUAAAGGCACUGUGAUGAAAUUUUACAGAAGAGGGUGAGAAAGAAAGGUGAUUAGUUCUAAGAAGUGGGACGAAGUGGGCAGCAGCCGCAGAUUUAAAAAGUAGGUGAUUUUUUUGAGAUAAUAUUUAAAAGAUAAGUAAAUAUUACUUUGCUAGCCAGGGAGAGGGGAGGGGCUAUUAGAAGCAUUGCAGGUAGGAAAAAAAAAAAAAAAGUUGAGCCAAGGUAUAGAUCGUGGUGGCAUGGAAUAGCAUUGCGAAAGACAGAGCUGGGAGGUGGGAGAAGUUUCCUGUGAUGAGCACAUAAGGUGUGGGCAGAAGUCUGGUGAGAGAAGGGUCUAGAGAGGAGACUGAGCACGCAGUUAAAGGGUGUGAACUUCAUCUCCAGGGCAGUGGAGAACUGUUAGAGGGUUUCAAGCACAAAAGAGAUUUAAAUAGAAGUACUUUUUGGGUUGUUGUUAAGGAAGCGCUCAGUUGAUGGUUGUAUUCAGAAAGUUUUGACGAGGUCAAGAUCAGAGUAGACAGGAGUUUUAAGGAGAGAGAACAGUGGGAAGAAUGUGGGAAGGCUAGAGAUCAGAAACAGCUUGGUUCAUGAAACAAAGUGUUCAGAGCAGAGAGACCGUACCAGGGGCUCCAAAGUGAAGCGAUUAGGGUCAAGCUGCAGCAGGGGGCACAGAAGAGAGAAGUGACACUGGGGAGCUUAAAAAGAAAAGGCAGCGUGUAGGCGCUGACUGACUGUGUGGGCGAGUGCAGGGGCUCAGGCGACUCCCAGGUCAGCUUGGGUGACUGCGUGGACAGUUAUGCCACUUAAGAUAACAAAAGAGGUGGUAGGAGCAGCAGAUUUGGGGAGGGACCUUGUUCAGUGGGGUUUGGUACAUAUUGUUUAGAGAUUCUUGUGGAACACCAAGUUGAGAUGGUCCAUCCAGUCGGCAGUAUGCAAUUUAGGAAUGAGGUUUGAUAUAGAGAAGACAACGCCUGCGUCCACAGCACAUAGACCGGUAGACGUUCAGGGCGUGAAGGAGUGAUUACCUGGCGGGAAUGUCAUCCAAGGUAUUGUGAAAUAAAAGCAAUACUAAAGACAAAAUCCUGGAAUAAAGGGAGGAUGUCAACAUUUGGGAAACAAGCAGGGGAAGAGGAACCAGAGAAGAAACUGCUGGGAUUCUACACUUUUGAAGGGAAAAGAGAGAGUGGUAAGAAACUAGAGAGAUUCAGAAUCAAAGCAAAGACUUAACUUCACUUGGUUAAAGCAACAAAGAGGGAGAGAGGGAAAAUCCAGCAGAGGUAGAUACUGCUUCUGAAGAGAAGUAAUGGAAUUGGGAAAAGAAUGGUUGAAGGGGUUGAGCACAUACUGAAGGGCAGAUGGUACAUCCCAGGAAACUGGGGGAUUCAGGGCAAAUUGUAGGCGGGGCAGGGAGGGCUCUGGAAUUAGUCAUAGAUUCAGGGAUGGGAAUUUCCACUCUUAACCUUAGUUUUCUCUGUAAAGUAAGAUGCAGAUUCAUUUGCUGAAAGAAGGGGGUUCAUGAUGGGAAAGGAAUGAGAAAAUGGAUAAGGGUUGGAAUAGCAACUUUGGGAAUUGGAAGAGGGACUUGACCAGGUCUAAGCGUAGAGAAAUGGAGGGAUUCAAUGGAGUCGCAUGCCCCUCUGCAUUUCUGGAAGGAAAACAUGUCCCUGACUGUCAGAAAAAGAAUAAAAAUUUCCAGAGUAUAUGAAGUCAGCCAAAUACAUUGUGAAACAGGAAUCAUAUUCUAUUCUAAAUAUGAAUACCCACAAUUUUUAUAUCAAAAAAAAUUUUAAAGCCAAGCAAACUAAGCACUGGGAUGUAUUAGGAAUGAAUUCUUAGUGUCCAAAGGUCCCACAGGAGAGAAAGAACUAGCAUGGUCCGUGAAUAAAAAUCAUCGUUCUAGGGAGUUCCCGUCGUGGUGCAGUGGUUAACGAAUCCGACUAGGAACCAUGAUGUUGGGGGUUUGGUCCCUGCCCUUGCUCAGUGGGUUAAGGAUCCGGCGUUGCCCUGAGCUGUGAUGUAGGUUGCAGAUGCGGCUCGGAUCCCGCGUUGCUGUGGCUCUGGCAUAGGCCGGUGCCUACAGCUCCGAUUCAACCCCUAGCCUGGGAACCUCCAUAUGCCAUAGGAGUAGCCCAAGAAAUGGCAAAAAACAAAACAAAACAAAACAAAAUAAAAAUCAUCGUUUAUAGACUGCAAAUCUGAGGUGACACAAAUUUCAGCAGUUGUGUGAGUGCUUCACAGCUCAGCCAUAAGAGCAGUGUCAGAUGGUAGAUGGCCAGUCUGACCCAAAGCAGAGAGUGUUUGUGUCCCUUGUAGCAGAAGGACAGAGCAGAGGGUCCUUCCCCGGAGAAGCAGCUGAGUCCUAAGUGGAAGGCCCAUGUCCAAUUGAGAGGAGCGUUGGAUCAAAGCCUUCCACAUCCCUCCCCCAGUAAGACAGACAAUGUUCUGGUCAGUCUAAUCAAGACGAAAAGGUAGAAAUGAAACACCAAUCACCAAUUUAAAAAACUCUUUAUAAUGGCGUAACAGAAAUAUACUAUGUUGAUAUGAUUUAAAAGUUCUCUCUGAAACCAACAUCCGAUGUAAUUCUUAAAAGUAAAGUAGCAGAAAGGUUCUUACUAAACAUAAGACCAUUGUGACAUCAAAAUUACUCAUUUUAUGCUAUUCUGAAGGUACAGCCGAAGCAAAGGGCAGAAAAGAGAAAGAAGAAAUAGGAUUAUUGGAAAAGAAAGAAGAGAUAUUAUUUAUAGCUAAUAUGAUUAUCUGUUAGAAAACUCAUAAAAAUAAAUUUUAAAAUUAUUUGAACUAGUUAAGGAAUUUAAAAAGAUCAAUUACAAAAGUAAUAUACAAAAAUUUACUAGGUUCCAGAAGUCGGCAACCAAAAAGCACUAGGAAGAGUUCCCGCUGUGGCACUGUGGGUUAAGAGUCUGACUGCAGCAGCUUGGGUCACUGCGGAGGCAGAGGUUCUGUCCCUGGCAUGGCACAGUGGGUUAAAGGAUCCAGCACUGCCUCAGCUGUAGUGUAGGUUGCAACUGUGGGUCAGAUUCAGUCCCUGGCCUGGAAACUUCCAUAUCC
rnacentral:lncRNA from 1 species